UAUCUUGAGUCCAACGUGCAUCCCUAGUUCUCGCACAGAUCAUGAGGAUCUUACUUUCAGAAGGAUGGGGAUUCGACACUAGGCCUCUGGGAACCCUCGUCCUCAGUCGGAAAUUCAUCCGUCCAUCCGGUCUAGUCUAUCAUCUUUUAUAUCGCUGUUUUUUUUCAGCCUGGUUUCUCUUACACUUCCGUAUCUGGACAGGCGGCCGGCCAUCCGGUCCAAAAUAUUCGCCGCUCUCCGUAGUUGUCCAUCACUGUAUAAUUCAGCUCCUCAACCAGAACGCCGGCAGAUAGGCUGAUAACUCAAGGAAGGUUGGGAUGGUGUCCAAUCAUCAUUCGCAUGAGGAGAUGGGGUAGGAUCCGUCCUAACUGGAGGAAGGUGGGGAUGACGUCAAAUCAUCAUGCCCCUUAUGACCUGGGCUACACACGUGCUACAAUGGGCAGAACAAAGGGCAGCGAAGCCGCGAGGCUAAGCCAAUCCCACAAAUCUGUUCUCAGUUCGGAUCGCAGUCUGCAACUCGGCUGCGUGAAGCUGGAAUCGCUAGUAAUCGCGGAUCAGCAUGCCGCGGUGAAUACGUUCCCGGGCCUUGUACACACCGCCCGUCACACCACGAGAGUUUGUAACACCCGAAGUCGGUGAGGUAACCUUUUGGAGCCAGCCGCCGAAGGUG
rnacentral:rRNA from 1 species